rnacentral:tRNA from 1 species
CCCUGGGUGGUGAAACAGUUAAUAUGUUCAGGUGCUAACUGAAAAGCUGGAGGUUCAAGUCCACCCAGGGA